UACAGAGGGUGCAAGCGUUAAUCGGAAUUACUGGGCGUAAAGCGUGCGUAGUCGGUUAUCUAAGUCGGAUGUGAAAUCCCCGGGCUCAACCCGGGAACUGCGUCCGAUACUGGAUGGCUUGAGUUCGGGAGAGGGAUGCGGAAUUCCAGGUGUGGCGGUGAAAUGCGUAGAUAUCUGGAGGAACACCGGUGGCGAAGGCGGCAUCCUGGACCGACACUGACGCUGAGGAGCGAAAGCCAGGGGAGCAAAGCGGG
rnacentral:rRNA from 1 species